rnacentral:other from 1 species
UUCCCUGCGGUGUUCGAACUAAGGUGAAAAACCCUUGGACCUAAUUACCCUACCGGGAAGACCGAUCACCUUGUUGGUGUGCAUGCUCUUUUUUAGAGAAGCCUGAUACAAGUGUCAGACUCCCACUUGAACCUGCCGGUUCAAGGUAGAAACCUGAAUGCGGCGCCAGCGGGGA